rnacentral:misc_RNA from 1 species
UUGAGUGUAAAAAAAAAAACAAUAUUUUAAUAAUUGUUCUGACGUAAAGCUGUGUAGUAUUAUUUAUCUAUGGUUAAAUAAAUAUCAUGUUUUCCUUUGUGGAGACAUAUUUGCAAUUUCGACGUCACUACAUUAUUCAUAUAUUCACAUAAUUACUAUUAAAAGUAGGACAUACUAUUUUGACAAAUUUAUUUUCUUGGUUUCUAAGCUCCAUUCUGACGAUUUUUUAUAUGGGCGGUAUUACCCUUUUUGCUUAAAUUUUGUUCCUUAUAUUAAAAAAAAAUAGGUGGCAAUACAAGACAAGCCAUUAAAAACUAAGGAAUAUAAUUAAAAUAAACAACUCAAAUGUUUUAAUAGAAACUCUUUUCAACUAGAUCUUUAUUGCACUAGGGUUGGGUCGUAUUUAAAUACUAUAAAAUCUAUAAAAUAAUAAUUGAUAAAUUUUGGUGCGGUUAUUGGUGAAAGCCCACAUUUACGUUUAACAUUAAUCAAUUUACGUACAUUUAUAUAUCUUUAACAUCAAAACACUAGUCUAGUACAUUUACUGUGAUGUUACCACUACCAGCGAAAAGAUUUAGACACUAUAAGAAUUAUAAUGUAUGAAAAUACCCAAUAUAGAUCCUAUAUUGAGGGCCUGGUUUACCCGUUAUCGAAAAAGUUUAUCCUGCAACAAGUGACUAAUAUACUUACGGCAGUAAUAGACGAAGCCAUUACGUUUAUACCAUAAGUACAGCGUUUAGAUUCACGACUGCGAAUAGAAAUAUGCAAUAAAUAUAGUGGAAUUAAAAGAAUAUUAUAUAUAUUUCAUCCGUUGGAUACAGUCAUCUGUCAAUUACCGUUAACGGCUUCGGUAAAACAGGCCCUAAACAAACGGUUGAUAACAUUAACUUUUAAAUUUCAAACAUUGUAUCAAUUUCGAAUAAACCAUGUUAGAAAAUUUAACUGUUCGUAACCAAAACGAAGCGUUUUUGAAUACCGGUUUUAGAACGAUACAUAGACUCAAAGAGCAUAAAAUAUAUUUCUUACAAAGAGUGAAUAUUAGCUAGAGACAGUAAAUUAAAGUACAUGUAGUACAUAUUAUUUCUAUGCUAUAUACAUAAAAUUGUUUGCUCGCAAAAAAAAAAUCGACUUCAAUUACAUCGACAAGUAAUACAAGGUAAGUAGACGAAAAAACAGUCGAGUAAAUAAAUACGCGCUAUCAAAGAUUACCUACUCGAUUAAAUUUAAAAAGGACUACAUGACAAGCAUCUGCUUUCGAUUCAAAAAAAGAAUCAUUAAAUCGGUCCACCCAGUCAAAAAUUCUGAAGUAUUUUUUUAAAAACCAAAUUGAGAACUUCCUCCUGUUUUUGAAGUCGGUUAAAAAUCAAUUAAAAGCAGUAGUUUAAGUUCACUUCAAACAUGUGUUAAGUCUAAGCUACUUCUACUUGACUAAUAAUUUGUCUAUAGCUUAGAAAUUCGUCUGUUGUAUAUGUGGUUUCAUUAAAUGACACUCGCUUACAUCCAUUUUGUUAUUGAAAUAUGAAAAAUAAGUUUUCGUUUUGUUAGUUUAGCAAUAUAGUAAAAAGAAAAUAGUUUUUAUACUAUCGUUACACGUUUAUUACCUUUAAAGAAAAAAGGUUUAACAGGUAAAAUACAAUUAAAAUAUAGUUUUUUUUUUUUGUCAAAAAAAGUUUUAUUAUGUUCUUUGAGUCUUUGUCUAUUAAAUAUAUAACACAGAAAUGUGAUGAGCAUUAUUGAAUAAACAAACCGAUUAAUUAAAUGGAAACAUGGUGUGAUAAAGACUUAUCUUUUUAAUAACUAUUUAUUUCUUCUCAUAGAUAUAGUAAAAAAAAGUAGAUAAUGCGCGGCCUUUGUUGUUAGUGAAGCCACAAAACUCGGCUCCUUCAAGUAAAUACACGCGCUCACGCACACAUAUGCAUCAAACUACGCUCAUUUUCGUUAGUAUGUCACGAGGCUUCAUACAGUAACUUUGCUUAUAAAAUGCCG